rnacentral:rRNA from 1 species
CCUACGGGCUGCUGCAGUGGGGAAUAUUGGACAAUGGGCGAAAGCCUGAUCCAGCCAUGCCGCGUGUGUGAAGAAGGCCUUCGGGUUGUAAAGCACUUUCAGUGGGGAAGAAAGCCUUGGGGCUAAUACCCUCGAGGAAGGACAUCACCCACAGAAGAAGCACCGGCUAACUCCGUGCCAGCAGCCGCGGUAAUACGGAGGGUGCGAGCGUUAAUCGGAAUUACUGGGCGUAAAGCGCGCGUAGGCGGUCUGAUAAGCCGGUUGUGAAAGCCCCGGGCUCAACCUGGGAACGGCAUCCGGAACUGUCAGGCUAGAGUGCAGGAGAGGAAGGUAGAAUUCCCGGUGUAGCGGUGAAAUGCGUAGAGAUCGGGAGGAAUACCAGUGGCGAAGGCGGCCUUCUGGACUGACACUGACGCUGAGGUGCGAAAGCGUGGGUAGCAAACAGGAUUAGAUACCCUGGUAGUC